rnacentral:rRNA from 1 species
GUGCCAGCAGCCGCGGUAAUACGGAGGGUGCAAGCGUUAUCCGGAUUUAUUGGGUUUAAAGGGUGCGCAGGCGGAUUGGUCAGUCAGUGGUGAAAUCCCGGGGCUCAACCUCGGAACUGCCAUUGAUACUGCCAGUCUUGAAUACGGUUGAAGUAGGCGGAAUGUAGCAUGUAGCGGUGAAAUGCAUAGAUAUGCUACAGAACACCGAUCGCGAAGGCAGCUUACUAAGCCGAUAUUGACGCUCAGGCACGAAAGCGUGGGUAGCGAACAGGAUUAGAUACCCUGGUAGUCCACGCCGUAAACGAUGAUCACUCGUUGUUGGCGACACACAGUCAGCGACCAAGCGAAAGCGAUAAGUGAUCCACCUGGGGAGUACGGCCGCAAGGUUGAAACUCAAAUGAAUUGACGG